rnacentral:lncRNA from 1 species
GUACCAUUUGAGUAAAGAAACCCUGAAGAAGAUUCCAGCCCUAGCCAUUGUCUGCCUGCAACUGUAGGACCAGACAAUCAGAACAGAGCUUAACACCUAAGCUAGGGAGCAGAUGCUGGAAUGCCAUGACCUGCAAAAUGACUGUGCCCUACCACGCCUGCCAGCUGCCUCCCCAGAUGACACAUUCACCCGCUCUCGAACUGCAAGUGCUGGCACAUAACUGCCUCAGAUCUGGACAAAUGUACGUGUGGGAUGUAAGACAGGUUUU